rnacentral:misc_RNA from 1 species
GAUGAAGAACGUAGCGAAAUGCGAUAAGUAAUGUGAAUUGCAGAAUUCAGUGAAUCAUCGAAUCUUUGAACGCACAUUGCGCCUGCCAGCACUCUGGCGGGCAUGCCUGUUCGAGCGUCAUUUCAACCAUCAAGCCCCCAGGGGCUUGUGCUGGGGCCCUGCGGCUGCCCGCAGGCCCUGAAAACCAGUGGCGGGCUCGCUAGUCACACCGAGCGCAGUAGCACAUCUCGCUCAGGGCGUGCGGCGGGCUCCUGCCGUGAAACCCCCCACUGUAACCCCAAAGGUUGACCUCGGAUCAGGUAGGAAUACCCGCUGAACUUAAGCAUAUCAAUAAGCGGAGGA